rnacentral:rRNA from 1 species
GAUGAACGCUGGCGGCGUGCCUAAUACAUGCAAGUCGAACGGGAAUCUUCGGAUUCCAGUGGCGAACGGGUGAGGAAUACAUAGGUAACCUGCCCCUCCGAGGGGGACAACAGACGGAAACAUCUGCUAAGACCGCAUAGCCACAGGGAAGGCAUCUUCCCUGUGCCAAAUGUCCUUUCGGGGACAGCGGGGGGAUGGACCUAUGCCGCAUUAGCUGGUUGGCGGGGCAACGGCCCACCAAGGCGACGAUGCGUAGCCGGCCUGAGAGGGCGGACGGCCACACUGGGACUGAGACACGGCCCAGACUCCUACGGGAGGCAGCAGUAGGGAAUUUUCGGCAAUGGGGGAAACCCUGACCGAGCAACGCCGCGUGAACGAUGAAGGCCUUCGGGUCGUAAAGUUCUGUUGCGAAGGAAGAACGCCGGUGUCAGGAAAUGGGCGCCGGGUGACGGUACUCGCA